GGAAGAGGGAGAGCGGGAGAGAGAGAGGCACAAAACUGACCCACCACAGGGUGGAAGGAGAAACUUCUGUACUGAGAAGAGAAGAGAAGAGAAGAGAAGAGAAGAGAAGAGAAGAGAAGAGAAGAGAAGAGAAGAGAAGAGAAGAGAAGGGUUCCUUGUGCUUUUACCUGUGGAGACUCAUACACUGCCUGCAUUGCAUGAAGAUGUCCCUACCCUUCAGAAUAAAUGUAAGCAUGAGGGUGGAAUGGAAGGGGCUUGGAGUGCCCAAUGGAAACGCAGCAGCCUAAGCUAGGAUCUUUGCCAGAAUGCAGAUAUUUCACAUAGAUUCCCUUGCAGGAGUAGCUUAUUGUCACAGUUAUGGGCCCCAAUCCAGAAAAUGUUAGGGUCAAACUAGACAUCCCCUUAAUUGCAUUUUAACAGAGAUGCUUAAACCCAUAAUCUAAUCUAUCUAUCUGUCUAUACACACACACACACACACACACACACACACACUCACACUCCUGGGGCCCCAUGAUCCUGAUUGGGACUGUGAUGCAUGGGGAGAGGAAUGUUAAUUCUUCCGCCCCCACACCUUGUGUCAGUUUCUCACCAGAAGUUGACCCCUGAAGCUGCUAUUUACCCAUGAAGCAAAUGUUUCCGCUUGCAGCAAAUAUUGGAGAUAGCCAGUUUCUCCUCUCUGGUACAGUUGUGCCAUGAUGACGUCAAGCUGUGCCAGAUCAAGUGCGGUAGUUAAUCCCUUUGGAAAACCCAUAAAAUGUCUCCUGUAGCACAGUGGUGCUGGUGGAGAAAAAAACCCAAACAGUAAGGGUUCAAGACCUCUGUGAGGCAGAGUGCCAAUUGCUGCUCCUCUCGUGCACACCUCCCUCCCUCUCUUUCCUUUUUUAAAAAAGGGAAGGGAGCAGGAGGGUAUAUUUCUGCCUCACUGGCACAUCAGUGAGAUGUGGAAUAAACUCUAUAGAAAGGACAGGGAGGGGCGCCUUGGAGGUGGAGUAGCACUGUAUGUUACAGAAGGGAUAGAAUCUAACAAGCUAGAAAACCUAGGAGGACCGGAGUCCUCCACAGAAACCCUGUGGGUGACAAUACAAGGCCUGAAAGGAAAUGUGCUACUGGGGACAUGCUAUCACCCUCCGGAUCAAAACGCUGACAGUGACUGGGAGUUGAAGGAGGAAAUCAGGGAGGAAUCAAGGAGAGGCAGAGCAGUAAUAAUGGGUGACUUCAAUUACCCACACACAGACUGGGUAAAUUCAGUCAGGUAAUGACAAAGAGGUCAAAUUUCUAGAUACGCUGAAUGACUGUGCCCUAGAACAGUUGGUCUUGGAACCAACCAGAGAGAAGGUACCUUGGACUUAAUCCUGAGUGGCACCCAGGACCUUGGGCGUGAUGUCAGUGUCAUCAACCCUUUAGGGAACAGUGACCAUAGUGAGAUCAAAUUCAGCAUACACGCAGGGAGAUAAUCACCAAGGAAAUCUAACACAGAAAUUCUUUGAAUUUCAGAAGAGGAAACUUCUCCAAACUGAAGAGCAUUACCCUUGCUAAUUGAGCAAAGAGGCACCUUUUAAAGUGGUGAUUCUCUAAGAUUUAGCCGAGGGAGAGCAACUGGCCCUAUCCAGCCCCAGCACAGCAUCCCUCCCGUGGCUGUUGCUGGUGUCUGUCUUAUGUUCCUUUUUAGAUUGUGAGCCCUUUAGGGACAGGGAGCCAUCUUAUUUAUGCACGUUUUAUUUUUCGAUGUAAACCUCUUUGAGAAGUUUGUUGAAGAGCGGUAUAUAAAUAUCAGUAGUAGUAGUAGUAGUAGUAUGGUGAAAAGAAAGCUGAAAGGGACAAUCAGGAGAGUUACUUCACUCCAGAAUGUGUGAAGUUUACUCAAAACCACAAUACCAGAAGCCCAGCUAGAUUGUAUACCCAAAAGGAGGAAAGGUACCACUAAGUCCAGGAGGAUGCCAGCAUGGAUAACAGGUAAAGUCAAGGAAGCCAUAAAAGGGAAGAAGACUUCCUUCUGAAAUUGGAAGGCCUGCCCAAAUGAAGAGAACAGAAAGGAACACAAACUCUGGCAAAUGAAAUGCAAGGUGACAAUACGGGAGUCAUUGGGUUAACUUUUUUAAUGAAUGCAUGUAAUGAAUUCACACAAAACCCCCAACUGUGUGUACAGAUAUCUGCAUGCAUGUAUAAUGUAACAUCUGGAUAAGGCAAUAAUGUAACAGUGAUACAUAUACCGUGUUUCCCCGAAAAUAAGACAGUGCCUUAUAUUAAUUUUAGCCCCCCAAAAUGCACUAGGGCAAUUAGCGGUACAUCAGAAAUUACUGCUAGGUCUUACUUUCGGGGUAGGUCUUACUUUCGGGGAAACAGGGUAUUAGAAGUCAUUUUACUGUAUUGUAAACAAGGCCUUCACUCUCGGAUAAAAUGGGAAUCAAGUGUCUUACUCCCUGACUGAGUUACCAAACUAAUCAGCAUCCUACAUCUCUGUGGCAUGGGCAAAAUAAUGUUUAAAAAUUGCUGAACAGCAGAAGGGGGAGGUGGGGGUGGAAUUACAAUCCUGUAAAUAUCCAGAGGGCUGAUGCCUUUUGAAUAAUUUGCCUGGCACAUGCUGCAUGAAAAGCACUGCUUGAACCAUCGCUGCUAUCGCUUCCCUAAUCAGGAAUCUGCUAUUCAUAGAGAUGAAUUUCCAAUCAACAUUACUCCAGAUAAAGAAUCUCCUGCACUACAGUGAAAGUCUCACUUUAUAUUCUGCUUCAGUGCCAAGCAGUGUCUGCAGCACUGAAACCGAGUCAACUAUUAAAUAAGUAAAUCUCCCAAUAGGCAACUAAAUGAAAGCACUGUUUGGGUAAAGGUUUAUUUCAACCAUUUGUUAAGAAAGGAUGCCGGAAUAUAGUCCUGAGGCACAAUGUGCCCAGAGAAGUUCAAUGCACACGGCCCAUUGACAUGAACGAGAGCUGGCAAUUGUCCUAUACUGUUUUAUUCUUGUGCAAGCUCCCAUUCGUUUUAACGGGGCUUGUACAGGAAUUCUGAAAAUGGACUGUGUCCUGAGUGAUUUGGAACACUGACUACAAAGAACCACCUAUUGUUAUCAUUCCAAGCUUCUGUUAUCAAAAGUUUUGGAAUGUUUUGUACAUGCAGAUACACAUCCCACUGACAAUCUGAGCUAACAGGCAUUCCAGUUCUGUUGUGAGGUUUCAGAGCAGAUGGUUACCAUCCUUGGCUGCUGUGUGAUAAAUUAAAAAGUAUCGGAAAGCUGUAAUUGUCAUGAUUAAUGUGGGAUACCCUGUUGUGCCUGACCCUUUGAUUUUUAAAGAAAAAAUGUUAUUUCAAAGAUUCUACUCAAAAAUCAAAUAUCGAAGUAAUUACAAAUCUUGCUACAGAGGCAACGUUUGAAACUGUGAAUAUAUAGAGACUUUCUAAACCACCUAUAAUAAAGAAUUGGCUGAUUCAAGCAGGCAGAGUAGCAGAGGAAGAUGUGUUUGGAAAGAACCUGGAAAUAGGUACAACAAAUGUAUGCGUUUUCAAUAAAUGGUUUCUGUUUUAAUAAA